rnacentral:rRNA from 1 species
GGAGCUUGCUUUUCUUGAUAGUGGCGAACGGGUGAGUAACGCGUGAGUACCUGCCCUGGAGUGGGGGACAACAGUUGGAAACGACUGCUAAUACCGCAUAAGCCGGCAUCGGAAAAGAUUUAUCGCUUCAGGAUGGACUCGCGUCCAAUUAGCUGGUUGGUGAGGUAACGGCCCACCAAGGCGACGAUUGGUAGCCGGACUGAGAGGUUGAACGGCCACAUUGGGACUGAGACACGGCCCAGACUCCUACGGGAGGCAGCAGUGGGGGAUAUUGCACAAUGGGGGAAACCCUGAUGCAGCGACGCCGCGUGGAGGAAGAAGGUUUUCGGAUUGUAAACUCCUGUCGUUAGGGACGAUAAUGACGGUACCUAACAAGAAAGCACCGGCUAACUACGUGCCAGCAGCCGCGGUAAAACGUAGGGUGCAAGCGUUGUCCGGAAUUACUGGGUGUAAAGGGAGCGCAGGCGGACCGGCAAGUUGGAAGUGAAAACUAUGGGCUCAACCCAUAAAUUGCUUUCAAAACUGCUGGCCUUGAGUAGUGCAGAGGUAGGUGGAAUUCCCGGUGUAGCGGUGGAAUGCGUAGAUAUCGGGAGGAACACCAGUGGCGAAGGCGACCUACUGGGCACCAACUGACGCUGAGGCUCGAAAGCAUGGGUAGCAAACAGGAUUAGAUACCCUGGUAGUCCAUGCCGUANACGAUGAUUACUAGGUGU